rnacentral:rRNA from 1 species
AUUGAACGCUGGCGGCAUGCCUUACACAUGCAAGUCGAACGGCAGCACGGGGGCAACCCUGGUGGCGAGUGGCGAACGGGUGAGUAAUACAUCGGAACGUGCCCUGAAGUGGGGGAUAACGUAGCGAAAGUUACGCUAAUACCGCAUAUUCUGUGAGCAGGAAAGCAGGGGAUCGCAAGACCUUGUGCUUUAGGAGCGGCCGAUGUCGGAUUAGCUAGUUGGUGAGGUAAAGGCUCACCAAGGCGACGAUCCGUAGCGGGUCUGAGAGGAUGAUCCGCCACACUGGAACUGAGACACGGUCCAGACUCCUACGGGAGGCAGCAGUGGGGAAUUUUGGACAAUGGGCGCAAGCCUGAUCCAGCCAUGCCGCGUGAGUGAAGAAGGC